CUGUUCACAGUGGCUUCUGCAAUGUCUGGCACAUAGUAUGUAUGAAGUAGAAAUCAAGUGAAGUAAUCAAUAGAAUUUUGACUAAGCUGUUUCAAUACCAAAACUUGCAAGACUGUUGGUUAGUCAUGAGGUCACAAAGGAUUGGACACAACGGGGCAUGCAUGCAGAUGGGUGUUAUCAAGAUACUGAUUCCUUUGGACACUAAGGCCUCUGGAGAAGGUCUGAGAAUAUAAACACAACUGAAGGAAGAGGAACAAAGAUGGCGACAUUCGUUUUUACAUGACAUUGCGAAGGAUCUAG
rnacentral:lncRNA from 1 species